AGUAAUGUAUGGGGAUCUGCCUGAUGGCGGGGGAUAACUACUGGAAACGGUAGCUAAUACCGCAUAAUGUCUGCGGACCAAAGCGGGGGACCUCCGGGCCUCGCGCCAUCAGAUGAACCCAUAUGGGAUUAGCUUGUAGGUAAGGUAACGGCUUACCUAGGCGACGAUCCCUAGCUGGUCUGAGAGGAUGAUCAGCCACACUGGGGCUGAGACACGGCCCAG
rnacentral:rRNA from 1 species